rnacentral:rRNA from 1 species
AAGGGGGUCUCCGGUAGGGUGGACCUGGCGGAGGGAUCAUU